AUUAUUAGUAAAAUCUGCUCAAUGUAUAAAUCAAUAGCCGCAAAUUCUGUGCUAAGGUAGCAAAAUCAUUUGUCUCUUAAUUAGAGACUAGAAUGAAUGAUUCAACGUUUGAAUUUCUUUUUAACUUUUAAUUUUUUAAAUUUACUUUAAUUAUAAAAAUAUAAUUAUAUAUCAGAAAGACGACAAGACCCUAUUGAACUUAACUUUAGUUAAACUGGGGCAGUUAACUAAUUAACAUUUUAGUAAAAAAUAUUUAAAAUCCUGAUCCUUUAUAAUUGAAUUUCGAUCAAGUUACCAUAGGGAUAACAGCGCAAUUCCUUUUAUAAGCUCUUAUAAAAAAAGGAGAUUACGACCUCGAUGUUGAAUUAAUUAUCUAAUUAACGCAGCCGUUAAAAAAGUAAGUCUGUUCGACUUUUAAUAAAUUACAUGAUUUGAGUUCAGACCGGCGUAAGCCAGGUCGGUUUCUAUCUUCUUCAAAAUUAUCCUAGUACGAAAGGACCUGAUAAACU
rnacentral:rRNA from 1 species